rnacentral:rRNA from 1 species
UCGAGGAUCUUUCGCAAUGGGCGCAAGCCUGACGAAGCGACGCCGUGUGAGUGAAGAAGGCCUUCGGGUUGUAAAGCUCUUUCGCCUGGGAACAAGGGUAUUUGGUGAAUAACUGAAUAUUUUGAGGGUACUAGGUAAAGAAGCACCGGCUAACUCCGUGCCAGCAGCUGCGGUAAUACGGAGGGUGCAAGCAUUAAUCGGAUUUACUGGGCGUAAAGGGCGCGUAGGCGGCAUGCCAAGUCAUUUGUGAAAAUUCGCGGCUCAACCGCGAAACUGCAGGUGAGACUGGUAAGCUAGAGGGUAAGCGGAGAAAAUGGAAUUCCACAUGUAGCGGUGAAAUGCGUAGAUAUGUGGAGGAACACCGGAGGCGAAAGCGGUUUUCUAGCUUAAACCUGACGCUGAAGCGCGAAAGCAAGGGGAUCAAACA